rnacentral:rRNA from 1 species
AUUGAACUCUGGCGGCAGGCUUAACACAUGCAAGUCGAACGAGUGGCGGACGGGUGAGUAAUGCUUGGGAAUCUAGCUUAUGGAGGGGGAUAACUACGGGAACCUGUAGCUACUACCGCGUACCAUCAGAUGAACCCAUAUGGGAUUAGCUGGUAGGUAAGGUAACGGCUUACCUAGGCGACGAUCCCUAGCUGGUCUGAGAGGAUGAUCAGCCACACGGGGACUGAGACACGGCCCAGACUCCUACGGGAGGCAGCAGUGGGGAAUAUUGCACAAUGGGCGCAAGCCUGAUGCAGCCAUGCCGCGUGUAUGAAGAAGGCCUUCGGGUUGUAAAGUACUUUCAGUCGGGAGGCGUUACCGACAGAAGAAGCACCGGCUAACUCCGUGCCAGCAGCCGCGGUAAUUC